rnacentral:lncRNA from 1 species
GAGAAGUUUGCACUUAUUAAGGAUUAUAUUGAUGGGUUGCCUUUUACCAUUGCACAUGAUGAUUUUGAUGAAUAUAAUAUGCAUGUGCUUGCUGCUCCUACUUGCAAUUAUUAUGAGAGAGGAACUAUAUCUCCACCUCUCUAUGUUUCCAAUAUGAUAAAGUUGCAAGAAACUGUUUAUACUAUGCAUUGGCCUUUACUAGGUGUGCAUGAAUUGUUCUUUUAUGACAUGCCGAUGCAUAGGAAGAGAGUUAGACUUCGUCAUUGCUUGAUAUAUGUUGCUUUGUUCUCACUACUAAAUUACAAAUCAUUGUUAAUUAAAAUUGACUUUGAUAUACCUUGGGAUCCGGGUGGAUUCACUACUUGAGCACUAUAUGCCUAGCUUAAUGGCUUUAAAGAAAGCGCUGCCAGGGAGACAACCCGAAAGUUUUAGAGAGUCACUUAUUUCUCUCGAGUGCUUUCAUAUAGUUUUAAAACAACAAAAAUAAAUAGGGGAACCCAAAACUUUUUCAAAAAGGAAAGCGGAAGUGAGAAAGACAAGCAUUGUUGAAGUGGGAGAGCUCCUUGAACUUUGUUCAUGCUCACGGCAACUUUGUGAAUCUUGAUUGCAGAAACUUUUCAAUAAAAAUAAUUAUCCCCUUGUACAAUUCCAUUGUAUUAUAAAAAUAAUGUGACAAGGUUUGCCUUUAGGAUGUUUACAUUUGCUUGAUGGUUUGUACGGUGCAGGACAGAAACUUUGGCUGUAGUGUGUGAUUUUACAUUUUUAGCUGAAACGUCAAAUGGUUCUGAUUCUUUUUUCACUGUCUUCCUAAACAAAUUUUUUAUUUUUACUAAUUUUGGUAGAAUUUUCAAGUAUCAAAAGUAUGGUGAAUGUUCAAAUUAUUACAGACUGUUCUGUUUUAGACAGAUUCUGUUUUUGAUGCAUAGUUUGCUUGUUUUGAUGAAACUAUCGAUUCAUAUUAGUGGAUUAAGCCAUGAAAAAGUUAUAUUACAGUAGACACAAUGCAAAAAUAAAAUAUGAAUUGGUUUGCAACAGUACCUAGAGUAGUGAUUUGCUUUAUUAUACUAACGGAUCUUACCGAGUUUUCUGUUGAAGUUUUGUGUGGAUGAAGUGUUCGAUAAUUGAGAAGGUCUCGAUGUGAGAAGAAGGAAGAGAGGCAAGAGCUCAAGCUUGGGGAUGCCCGAGGCACCCCAAGUAAAUAUUCAAGGAGACUCAAGCGUCUAAGCUUGGGGAUUCUGGGGAGGCAUCCCCUCUUUCUUCAACAAAUAUUGGUAUGUCUUCGGAUUCGUUUCGUUCAUGCGAUAUGUGCAAGUCUUGGAGCGUCUUUUGCAUUUAGGUUUUUAUUUUUAUUUUUAUGCACCAUGCUGAUAUGAGAUAGUCCUUGAUUGAUUUAUAGAAUGCUCAUUGCACUUCACUUAUAUCUUUUGAGUAUGGCUUUAUAGAAUGCUUCAUGUGCUUCACUUAUAUCAUUUGAAGUUUCGAUUGCCUGUUUCUCUUCACUUAGACAACCGCCAUUUGUAGAAUGCUCUUUUGCUUCACUUAUAUUUGUUAGAGCACGGGCACAUGUUUUGUAGAAAGAACUAAACUCUCUUUCUUCACUUAUAUCUAUUUAGAGAGAUGACAGGAAUUGGUCAUUCACAUGGUUAGUCAUAAAAUCGUACAUAAACUUGUAGAUCGUUGAAUAUGAUAUGUUUGAUUUCUUGCAAUAGUUUUGUGAUAUAAAGGCGGUGAUAUUAGAGUCAUGCUAGUCGAGUAAUUGUGAAAUUGAGAAGUACUUGUGUUGAGGUUUGCAAGUCCCGUAGCAUGCACGUAUGGUGAACCGUUAUGUAACGAAGUCGGAGCAUGAGGUGUUUAUUGAUUGUCCUCCUUAUGAGUGGCGGUCGGGGACGAGCGAUGGUCUUUUUCUACCAAUCUAUCCCCCUAGGAGCAUGCGCCUAGUACUUUGUUUCGAUGACUAAUAGAUUUUUGUAAUAAGUAUGUGAGUUCUUUAUGACUAACGUUGAGUCCAUGGAUUAUAUGCACUCUCACCCUUCCACCAUUGCUAGCCUCUCUAGUACUGCGCAACUUUCGCCGGUACCAUAAACCCACCAUAUACCUUCCUCAAAACAGCCACCAUACCUACCUAUCAUGGCAUUUCCAUAGCUAUUCCGAGAUAUAUUGCCAUGCAACUUUCAUCAUCAUCAUCAUAUACAUGACUUGAGCAUUUAUUGUCAUAUUGCUUUGCAUGACCGUAAGAUAGCUAGCAUGAUGUUUUCAUGGCUUGUCCGUUUUUUGAUGUCAUUGCUACGCUAGAUCAUUGCACAUCCCGGUACACCGCCGGAGGCAUUCAUAUAGAGUCAUAUCUUUGUUCUAGAUAUCGAGUUGUAAGUAAAUAAAAGUGUGAUGAUCAUCAUUAUUAGAUCAUUGCCCCAGUGAGGAAAGGAUGAUGGAGACUAUGAUUCCCCCACAAGUCGGGAUGAGACUCUGGACGAAAAAAAUACAAAAAAGAGAAAGGCCAAAAAAAGAGAAGGCCCAAAAAAAAAAGAGAACAAAAAAGGAGAGAAAAAGAGAUAAGGGGCAAUGUUACUAUCCUUUUACCACACUUGUGCUUCAAAGUAGCACCCAUGUUCUUCAUAUAGAGAGUCUCUUGAGUUAUCACUUUCAUAUACUAGUGGGAAUUUUCAUUAUAGAACUUGGCUUCCAACGAUGGGCUUCCUCAAAUGCCCUAGGUCUUCAUGAGCAAGCAAGUUGGAUGCACACCUACUUAGUUUUAGUUUGAGCUUUCAUAUACUUAUAGCUCUAGUGCAUUCGUUGCAUGGAAAUCCCUACUCCUCACAUUGAUAUCUAUUAAUGGGCAUCUCCAUAGCCCGUUGGUACGCCUAGUUGAUGUGAAACUUUCUCCUUUUUUGUCUUCUCCACAUAACCCCCACCAUCAUAUUCUAUUCCACCUAUAGUGCUAUGUCCAUGGCUCACGCUCAUGUAUUGCGUGAAAGUUGAAAAGGUUUGAGAAAUGUCAAAGUAUGAAACAAUUGCUUGGCUUGUCAUCGGGGUUGUGCAUGAUGUGAAUGCUUUGUGUGGUGAAGAUGGAGCAUAGCCAGACUAUAUGAUUUUGUAGGGAUAACUUUCUUUGGCCAUGUUAUUUUGAAAAGACAUGAUUGCUUUAUUAGUAGGCUUGAAGUAUUAUUGUUUUUAUGUCAAAUGAUAGACUAUUGCUUUGAAUCACUCGUGUCUUAAUAUUCAUGCCAUGAUUAGACAUAUGAUCAAGAUUAUGCUAGGUAGCAUUCCACAUCAAAAAUUAUCUUUUUUAUCAUUUACCUACUCGAGGACGAGCAGGAAUUAAGCUUGGGGAUGCUGAUACGUCUCCGUCAUAUCUAUAAUUUUUGAUUGUUCCAUGCCAAUAUUCUACAACUUUCAUAUACUUUUGGCAACUUUUUAUACUAUUUUUGGGACUAAUAUAUUGAUCCAGUGCCCAGUGCCAGUUCCUAUGUGUUGCAUGUUUUUUGUUUCGCAGAAAUCCAAUAUCAAACGGAGCCCAAACGGGAUAAAAACGGACGGAGAAUUAUUUUGGAAUAUUUAUGAUUUUUGGGAAGUAAAAUCAACGCGAGACGGUGUCCGAGGGGGGCACGAGGUAGGGGGCGCGCCCCUGGGUGUCAGGCGCGCCCCUGACCCUCGUGACCACCCCGUAAGGCGGUUGAUGCCCUUCUUUCACCGCAAGAAAGCUAAUUUCUGGAUAGAGAUCGUGUCAAAAUUUCAGCCCAAUCGUAGUUACGGAUCUCCGGGAAUAUAAGAAACGGUGAAAGGGAAAAAUCGGAGAACGCAGAAACAGAGAGAGGCAGAGAGACAGAUCCAAUCUCGGAGGGGCUCUCGCCCCUCCUGUGCCAUGGAGGCCAUGGACCAGAGGGGAAACUCUUCUCCCAUCUAGGGAGGAGGUCAAGGAAGAAGAAGGAGGGGGGCUCUCUCCCCCUCGCUUCCGGUGGCACCGAAGUGCCACCGGGGGCCAUCAUCAUCACCGCGAUCUACACCAACACCUCCGCCAUCUUCACCAACAUCUCCAUCACCUCCCCCCUCUAUCUACAGCGGUCCACUCUCCCGCAACCCGAUGUACCCUCUACUUGAACAUGGUGCUUUAUGCUUCAUAUUAUUAUCCAAUGAUGUGUUGCCAUCCUAUGAUGUCUGAGUAGAUUUUCGUCGUCCUAUUGGUGGUUGAUGAAUUGCUAUGAUUGAUUUAAUUUGCUUGUGGUUAUGUUGCUGUCCUUUGGUGCCCAUCAUA